AAGAAUUUAGGUUUAAGAAGACCAAAAGCCUUCAAAGCUUUUAGCGGAGGUUAAAACCCUUCAAUUCUUG
rnacentral:tRNA from 1 species